rnacentral:rRNA from 1 species
GAUGAACGCUGGCGGCGUGCCUAAUACAUGCAAGUCGAGCGAACAGACGAGGAGCUUGCUCCUCUGACGUUAGCGGCGGACGGGUGAGUAACACGUGGAUAACCUACCUAUAAGACUGGGAUAACUUCGGGAAACCGGAGCUAAUACCGGAUAAUAUAUUGAACCGCAUGGUUCAAUAGUGAAAGACGGUUUUGCUGUCACUUAUAGAUGGAUCCGCGCCGCAUUAGCUAGUUGGUAAGGUAACGGCUUACCAAGGCAACGAUGCGUAGCCGACCUGAGAGGGUGAUCGGCCACACUGGAACUUAGACACGGUCCAGACUCCUACGGGAGGCAGCAGUAGGGAAUCUUCCGCAAUGGGCGAAAGCCUGACGGAGCAACGCCGCGUGAGUGAUGAAGGUCUUCGGAUCGUAAAACUCUGUUAUUAGGGAAGAACAAAUGUGUAAGUAACUAUGCACGUCUUGACGGUAACUAAUCAGAAAGCCACGGCUAACUACGUG